rnacentral:sRNA from 1 species
UUGUGGGAGGCCUACCCACGCUACGUCUUC